GGCUACAGUGGAAUGUCAUUUUUCAUUCUGAGGUGAAAAAGGCAGUGCCUUUAAUAGAAAAUACCUUUCCAGAGUAAAAUCUUAGGUGUAUUUCUUUAGUGCCAGUGUCUUAGAUGAUGGGCCCCUAGAAGUUGUCAACAUCUCUUCUUGAUUGGAGAAAGUGUUAAGCCCCAAAGUAGCUGGAGCAGUAUAUUUUCACCUUUUGACAAGAGGGCAGGAACUUGAUUACUUUGAGGGCUAUUCAACAGUUUCUAAAUUUAAUACUUUCCCAAUUAAAUUGAUCAUUGUUAGUUUUUUAUUUAGGGAAUCUGCAAAACUCCACUGAAAAUAAAUUAGUAGUAGAAAUUAUUCCUAAAUACCAAA
rnacentral:sRNA from 1 species